rnacentral:rRNA from 1 species
AUUGAACGCUGGCGGCAGGCUUAACACAUGCAAGUCGAGCGGAGAGAGGUAGCUUGCUACUGAUCUUAGCGGCGGACGGGUGAGUAAUGCUUAGGAAUCUGCCUAUUAGUGGGGGACAACAUUUCGAAAGGAAUGCUAAUACCGCAUACGUCUUACGGGAGAAAGCAGGGGAUCUUCGGACCUUGCGCUAAUAGAUGAGCCUAAGUCGGAUUAGCUAGUUGGUGGGGUAAAGGCCUACCAAGGCGACGAUCUGGAGCGGGUCUGAGAGGAUGAUCCGCCACACUGGGACUGCGACACGGCCCAGACUCCUACGGGAGGCAGCAGUGGGGAAUAUUGGACAAUGGGCGCAAGCCUGAUCCAGCCAUGCCGCGUGUGUGAAGAAGGCCUUAUGGUUGUAAAGCACUUUAAGCGAGGAGGAGGCUACUUUAGAUAAUACCUAGAGAUAGUGGACGUUACUCGCAGAAUAAGCACCGGCUAACUCUGUGCCAGCCGCCGCCGUAA